rnacentral:rRNA from 1 species
GCAGUAAGGAAUAUUGGUCAAUGGAGGCAACUCUGAACCAGCCAUGCCGCGUGCAGGAAGACUGCCCUAUGGGUUGUAAACUGCUUUUAUCUGGGAAUAAACCUAUUUACGUGUAAGUAGCUGAAUGUACCAGAAGAAUAAGGAUCGGCUAACUCCGUGCCAGCAGCCGCGGUAAUACGGAGGAUCCAAGCGUUAUCCGGAUUUAUUGGGUUUAAAGGGUGCGUAGGCGGCCUGUUAAGUCAGGGGUGAAAGACGGUAGCUCAACUAUCGCAGUGCCCUUGAUACUGAUGGGCUUGAAUGGACUAGAGGUAGGCGGAAUGAGACAAGUAGCGGUGAAAUGCAUAGAUAUGUCUCAGAACACCGAUUGCGAAGGCAGCUUACUAUGGUCUUAUUGACGCUGAGGCACGAAAGCGUGGGGAUCAAACAGGAUUAGA